UAAUAAACUUCUAUUUUGCAUAUUAAAAUUUUAUUGUAUUUAAAAACAUUUUAAAAUUUAGUAAAGGUGAUAAAAACUUUAUUUUUAAGUGAAUUAUAGAAGUACCGUGAGGGAAAUAAUAAUAUUAAUUAUAUAUUAGGAUAAUAUAAAUUUAGUACCUUUUGCAUUAUGGUUUAACUAGAUUUUCCCUAUAAAUAUAAUUUCUCGAAGUCAAAUGAGCUAUUUUUUAUCUUCUUAUAGGUAUAAAAUCUUAACUGUUGAAAUAGUUUAUUUAGAAUUUAAAAUAGUAAUGAAAUUUUUUUCGCAUUUGACGAUAGCUAGUUUUCUUUUAAAUGUAUAUACGUACAGAAAAUUAAGUUAAUUAUUUUAUAUUUUUAUGGAAUAAUUUUUAUUAAUUUUUUAAAAUUUUUGAGGAUAAGCUCAAAAAUUUUUAUCACAUUAAUUUUAUGAUUAAAAUUUAAGCUUGAAAAUAGCUAUAAUUAUGAAUUUGUUGUACUUCAUUAUUUUUUUUAAAAAAAAAUUUAUAUGUUUUAUUUUAAGAAGAAUUAUUAUAAAAAUUUAAGAUAUAAUAUAUGUAUGUUAAAAUGAGUAUUAAUAUUAUAUAAGAGUUAUAGCUUAAAUAAAAUCUUAAGUAAAAUUAAACUUUAAUGUAUAAUUUAAAUUUUAAAAAGGAACUCGGCAAAAUUUUUACUUCGCCUGUUUAACAAAAACAUGGCUCCUUGAUUUAUAUAUCUAUAAGGAGUCUGACCUGCCCGGUGAAAUAUUUAAACGGCCGCGGUACUCUGACCGUGCAAAGGUAGCAUAAUAACUUGUCCUAUAAUUGGGGACUAGAAUGAAUGGUUUGACGGAAGUAAAACUGUCUCUUUAAAAUUUAAUGUAAUUUCACUUUUAGGUGCAAAGGCCUAGUAUAUUAUUGAAAGACAAGAAGACCCUAUCGAGCUUAUAAAGAAAUUAAUAUAGAUUGCUAAUAUUUAUAAAACAAAAUUUAUUAAGUUAUUUUGGUUGGGGCGACUAAGGAACAGAUGAAGCUUCUUUUUUUAUAUAGACUUUCUGGUUAUGAUCCAAUUUUAUUGAUUAAAGGAAUUAGUUACCGUAGGGAUAACAGCAUUAUCUUUUUUGAGAGUUCUUAUCGAAAAAAAGGUUUGUGACCUCGAUGUUGAAUCAGAAUAUCCUAAAGAUGUAGUAGUCUUUAAGGGUUGGUCUGUUCGACCAUUAAAAUUCUACGUGAUUUGAGUUCAGACCGGCGUGAGCCAGGUCAGUUUCUAUCUUCAAUUUUUUUUCUAAUUUUAGUACGAAAGGACCAAUUUAGAAUAUAAAAUAUUAUUUAAGAUGUAUUUUAAUUAAAAAUUUAUUUAAUGAAUUAAA
rnacentral:rRNA from 1 species